UACGUAGGUGGCAAGCGUUGUCCGGAUUUACUGGGCGUAAAGAGCGCGCAGGCGGUCGAAUAAGUCGAAUGUGAAAGCCCCCGGCUUAACUGGGGAGGGUCAUUCGAUACUGUUCGACUUGAAGGCAGGAGAGGGCAGCAGAAUUCCCGGUGUAGUGGUGAAAUGCGUAGAUAUCGUAAGGAAGACCAGUGGCGAAGGCGAAUCUCUGGACAGUUACUGACACUGAGGCACGAAGGCCAGGGGAGCAAACAGG
rnacentral:rRNA from 1 species